GACGAACGCUGGCGGCGUGCUUAACACAUGCAGGUCGAACGGGAGUAUCGAAGAAGCUUGCUUUAGAGAUACUUUAGUGGCGGACGGGUGAGUAACGCGUGAGGAGCUGUCCUAUGCAGGGGGACAACAGUUGGAAACGACUGCUAAUACCCCAUAAGCCGAGAGGUAAAAGGAUUUAUCCGCCAGAGGAGGUACUCGCGUCCUAUCAGCUAGUAGGUGAGGUAACGGCUCACCUAGGCGAAGACGGGUAGCCGGCCUGAGAGGGCGAACGGCCACACUGGAACUGGGAUACGGUCCAGACUCCUACGGGAGGCAGCAGUGGGGAAUAUUGGGCAAUGGGGGGAACCCUGACCCAGCGACGCCGCGUGGGUGAAGAAAUCCCUCGGGAUGUAGAGCCCUGUUGUAUGGGAAGAGCGGAAGACGGUACCAUACGAGGAAGCCCCGGCAAACUACGUGCCAGCCGCCGCGGUAA
rnacentral:rRNA from 1 species